rnacentral:rRNA from 1 species
AUGAAGGAGAGCGACAUCGCCGUCAGCGUGGUCCGCAUCGGCGACAUGGAGGCGGGGGUGUUCGAGGCUUUCCUCGGCUUCAUGUACACCGGCUCGCUGCCGGAGAUGGCAAAGGAGGAGGAAGACGCCAUGUACCAGCAUCUCCUUGUGGCCGCCGACAGGUAUAACAUGGAGAGGCUCAAGUUGAUUUGCGAAGACAAGCUGUGCAAGAGAAUUGAUGGGAGCACCGUGGCCAACGUGUUGGCGUUGGCUGAGCUUCACCACUGCCGUGAUCUCAAGGACGCAUGCUACGAAUUUCUCAGCACUCCUGCAAAUCUUACGGAGGCCAUGGCCACUGACGGUUCCGAGCAUCUGAGCACAAGCUGCCCUUCUGUUGUCAAGGAGCUGAUUGCCUUGUGCUCCGCACCUUAG